CCAGACUCCUACGGGAGGCAGCAGUGAGGAAUAUUGGUCAAUGGGCUUACGCCUGAACCAGCCAAGUCGCGUGAGGGAAGACUGCCCUAUGGGUUGUAAACCUCUUUUGUCAGGGAGCAACGCCGGCUACGUGUAGCCGGACUGAGAGUACCUGAAGAAAAAGCAUCGGCUAACUCCGUGCCAGCAGCCGCGGUAAUACGGAGGAUGCGAGCGUUAUCCGGAUUUAUUGGGUUUAAAGGGUGCGUUGGCGGUUCGAUAAGUUAGAGGUGAAAUCCCGGGGCUCAACUCCGGCACUGCCUCUGAUACUGUCGGGCUAGAGUUUAGUUGCGGUAGGCGGAAUGUAUGGUGUAGCGGUGAAAUGCAUAGAGAUCAUGCAGAACACCGAUUGCGAAGGCAGCUUACCAAACUACGACUGACGUUGAGGCACGAAAGCGUGGGGAGCAAACAGGAUUAGAUACCCGAGUA
rnacentral:rRNA from 1 species